CACAUAUCUCCAAGUAGCAGGGCCUGUCUCAGAUCCUAAAUUUCUGUGUAAGACACUGAAGUGCAAGUGCUGUAAAUUUGCAAGAGCAGUAAGUCUCCUUUCGCUGCUUAAUCCCAGAUGUCUCAAAGAAAGAGGACACCUGUGAUGCAGGCACUAAUAGAAGAGGUUAAUUCUCUGGAGGAGAAGGUGGCUGAACUGGAGCACUGAGGAAAUUAGAAGCUCUUUACAUGAACACUGUGGAAGUGAAGGUAGAGUUUGUGAAGAUCUUGCAUUUCUUCCACUCCCCUACCAGGAAUGUGUGAUAAAUGUUUUAAGUAAAGGGUUUCAAAUGAUUUUUGCAAAGUCUUAUAAAUGUUCCAUAUGUCACAUUCUCUAAAAUUAUAAUCUAUUAUCUCACUCAAGUGGAAUAAUAAUGCAAUGAAAAAACUAAAUUUAUCCCAGGUGCCCCAGCAGGUUGAUUCUUCAUUAUGUGUUA
rnacentral:lncRNA from 1 species